AUGGGAGACACCUCUCCGUCGAAAGGCGAUGGGAACAAGAGCGGGAGCGGUGGAAAGUACACGCCGCUAGCGGCCAGGAAGGCCGGCGCCAGCGACGCGGACGGCGGCGCUGUGGUGCUCGCUACCCCGUCAAGAGCCACGAAUGUGCCCAUUCAGUAUCCAAUGCUGACGGACAUGAACUACUCCUUGUGGGCUGUGAAGAUGAAGGUGUUGAUGAAGGCGCUACGCGUCUGGUCGGCAAUCGAGGGCUCCGGCGAGUUUGAUCAGGCCACCGACGAGGGGGCGUUCGCUGCUCUGUCUCAAUCAAUUCCAGAUCAUGUUAUGAUGCAGGUUGCAGACUGCAACACCGUACAGGAGACGUGGGAGCUGAUUCGGUGCGCGCGCGUCGGCGAGGACUGCGUGAAGAAGGCACGUGCGUGCCAGCUCAAGAGGCAAUUUGAUCGCCUCGACAUGGGCGAUGGGGAGACGAUCCCGGAGUUUGCCAGGAAGCUCACCACGUUGGUGAGCGAAAUCCGCUCCCUCGGUGUCACCCUCAGCGAGGAAGCCGUGGUGGAGAGGUUGUUCAGCGCCGUCCCAGAUCGGUUUGCCGACAUCGUCAACACCAUCGAGCAGUGGGGCGACCUCACGACCAUGACGGUGCAGGAGGCCGUCGGGCGGCUCACGGCAUUCAAGGAGAACCAACGCGGGCGGCGGCAGAGCCGUGGCGGCAAGGACGAGCAACUGAUGCUCGUUACACGUGCGCUGGAGACACUGAUGAAAGGCAAGAAGAUGAUCGAUAGUGGCGGCGGGCUAGCUCAAGCGGCAAGAAGGGUGCUGGGCAUGAAAAGGCGCGUGGUGAGCGUGUCCAGUCCAGCGGCAAAGGAAAAGACAAAGAGAAGGUCAAGAAGCACAGAAAGUUAG
rnacentral:rRNA from 1 species